rnacentral:lncRNA from 1 species
CACUCAGUGGCUGUCUUCAAGGCAUCCAGGGUGCCUGGCUCUGGACUGGACUGUGCUUUGCGGACACAGACAGCUAGACAGCAGGGUUACAGCUGUUGAAUGCACAUAGCACAGGGCGCUCAUUGGAUGGUAGGGUGGAUUGACAUGGUGGAAGGCCCUUACUUAACAGCAUGUGCUUUCUUGGGAGCAGGCCUUGUGCUGGAUGGCCCCACCGACCCAGUGAAGAGCUGGACUUGGU